GCCGUGGAAGGAGAGCUGCAGGGAUGCGUUCUGGCAGGCGCCCAGGCGUUUUUCUCCUUCCCGUGCCCCAGAAGGGAAAGAUGAUUUAGCCAAGGAGAAAAUAACUGGAUGGCUGGAAGAAGGAGCAGUUGAUAGGAAAUAACCUUGGAGCACAGCUGUCUGACAUGACGGCGUGCGAGGUGCCCAGCUUCCUGAGACGACCGUGCUCCGUGAAAUGCCAUCAGGGAACGUAACUUCCAGAGGAGAUGACAAAGGACAAUAAAGACAACCAGAGCACGCAGAAUGCAAUGCAAGAGAGACUGCAGAGUGGGCUGGGCGCUCCCUUCUGCUCCUCUGCUCCUGAUCAAGAAAUGGUUUCAGCAUCGACAUACGUAAAGUUCCUCCCGUUCAGUUUAGGACUCCUACUAGGUGCUGAGGCAAUGAGUCGAGUAUUUGGCUGGUGUAAAUCAGUGCAGCUCAACUGACUUGGUUCAUUUGAGGAUGUUUGUACCUGUAGGUACCUGUAGGUACCUUCUUCCCCCACUAAAGGCAAAGACGUUGCCUGGGACUUGCCCCUCGCACCUGGAGCAAGUCGGACACUCCCCGACUGCAAGGCAAGAGCGCGGGGAGCUUCUCCUCCACGCUGAUGCUGUCGGACCGCAGCAGAGAGUGACACCUGAGCAAGGACUCACGCCUCCUUGUGCAUCGCUUCAUAGUAUCUGGUCUGCAGCCUGCAAGUGAAACUGCAGCUCCCAACACCUGGCAUCUGUGCCUGACUCUGGCUGCCUGCUACCUUUGGGCACACCGCUUCUCCCGUCUCUGCCUCAGCUUCCCCGACUGUAUGACGCUUCAUGAAGCGCUUUGAAUUUCACUGAUUAAAAAGCAUUAAAUGAGA